rnacentral:misc_RNA from 1 species
GAUGAAGAACGUAGCGAAAUGCGAUACUUGGUGUGAAUUGCAGAAUCCCGUGAACCAUCGAGUCUUUGAACGCAAGUUGCGCCUCAAGCCAUUAGGUUGAGGGCACGUCUGCCUGGGCGUCACAUAUCGUUGCCUGAUGCCAGUUUCCUCGUGAUGGGUGACUGUGCAGGGCGAAUGAUGGCUUCCCGUGAGCAUUGUUGCCUCAUGGUUGGUUGAAAAUUGAGUCCUUGGUAGGUAGCGCCGUGAUAGAUGGUGGUUGAGUGACGAACGAGACCCAAUCAUGUGAGACCCCUACCGAAUUUGGCCUUCAUGACCCACAUGCGUCUUUGGAACGCUCAUGACGAGACCUCAGGUCAGGCGGGGCUACCCGCUGAGUUUAAGCAUAUCAAUAAGCGGAGGA